AGAUUGAACGCUGGCGGCAUGCCUAACACAUGCAAGUCGAACGGCAGCGCGGGUAGCAAUACCUGGCGGCGAGUGGCGGACGGGUGAGGAAUACAUAGGAAUCUACCCUGUCGUGGGGGAUAACGUAGGGAAACUUACGCUAAUACCGCAUACGACCGAGAGGUGAAAGCGGCGGACCGCAAGGCGUCGCGCGGCUGGAUGAGCCUAUGUCCGAUUAGCUAGUUGGCGGGGUAAGAGCCCACCAAGGCGACGAUCGGUAGCUGGUCUGAGAGGAUGAUCAGCCACACUGGGACUGAGACACGCCCAGACUCCUACGGGAGCAGCAGUGGGAAUAUUGGACAAGUGGGCGCAAGCCUGAUCCAGCAAGUGCCGCGUGUGUGAAGAAGGCCUUCGGUUAGUAA
rnacentral:rRNA from 1 species